rnacentral:lncRNA from 1 species
UUGUGAUUCAAUGAUGAAUUAGUGUUUUUUUUAAGGCACAGUCUCUCCAAACCACCUAAAUAAAGUUUUUGAUACAUACACUGUGAGUAAAACUAGGUUAAUUGGUCUAAAUGUUGGUUAUAGAACACCAUCAUUAAUUGUGGAUUCACUUCAAAGUGUAAUUUAACAUUCUUAAAAUGUACUUAGUUGACCUACUUUAAUGACUUGAUGAAAAAUGAAUCUACUGCUUUUACAGAUAUCCCCUUGUGCUGUCGGUCAAACGGAGAGGUCCAAGCAUUGUUGACACUGGGUAAAUCCCAAACAACCACAUCCGUACAUUAUGGGUUUGCCAUUAUGGAUAACGUUCAGAAGCCUCACUGCUCAGUCAGUCACAGUCUGUCCUGGAUGUGGACACUGAUGCUCAGUAGAAGUUAAAACCAGCCAAAUGCUACAUAGCGGCUGUCAUCAUCUGAAAUUUCAAACCAGCGACAGCAGGUGUUGCUAGAGAACACAUCAGCUGCUUGCUUGCAAAGUAAAGCACUUAGUGAUGCCUCUACAAAAAAAAAGGCCUCUACAAAAAAGAAAAGAUUGUUGUGUACUGAAUGUCGUUAUAUACGUACUUCUGCCAGACCAGAGAAUCCUACAAGGUCAGGGUUUGGGUGAUUUCUACCAGUGAGUUAAAUGACUCCCUGCUUCCUCUAAAUGGAACUCAUUACAGAGCCAUUUAAAGUUCAGUUUGACGGUUUAUCUGCAACUUUGAGAGCUGUUACAAUAUUAACCAGGUUACAUUGCUUUUAACAGACGUGUUGCAGGCUGUUUGGACAUCAGAUGAAGUCAAAGUGUUGCUCACCGAUGGUGGGAGGAGAGCGUCCAGGAGCAGCUCAGAUCUACUCAGAGGAACGAGUAGAUCGAGUGUUUGCUCAGCUGAGUCCUGACCUCACCACUCAGGGCUUUGAUAAGACCAGCCAGCCAAUGCAGGGAAAAGAAGUACAGAAAAGACCUUGGCAAUCGUUGUCACUUUUCUGCCUCCUCAUUGUGUCUCCUGGUUCCAACGCUGUGUGCGAUGUGUGCCUUUGCCUGGCAGGUGGUUCUGUGCUGUAAUCUGCUACACUAUGGAAAGUCAAGUGCAAUCCUUGCUCUGACUAAGGGCAAGGGUAAGAAACAUAGAAGCAUUUAUACAGUUUUAUGUAAGGUAAGGUUUUAUGUGUCAGUGGAGUGGAUUUCUAAAAAUAAUUACUCCCUCUUACUCAAUCUGAAGUGUAUUUGAUUUACAUUCAGACAUAAGACAAUAACAAUAUCUGUUGCGGUGUGUGUUUCCGGUUGUGUUGGAGUUGUGUCGCAGUGAGAGCACUGCCAACCUGCUGAAUAUCCAGCCUCACUUGAAGAACCUCGCAAUGGGCUCCACCUGUGAUCAGGAGGUACGUCUGCAGGUGUGGAUGAAUACUGAACUGAAAGCAACGUAGAGCUGUGGAGCGGUGUGUUGAUUCUCAGUAGGAUCUGCAGUAUAAGCAGCUUUAAGUGGCAAAAUGGCUUAAAUAUUUAUUUUGAAAAAUAAUUUAUUAUUUACUUAUUUUACAAAGAGGGACAUA